rnacentral:rRNA from 1 species
ACUCAAAGGAAUAGACGGGGGCCCGCACAAGCGGUGGAGCAUGUGGUUCAAUUCGACGCAACGCGAAGAACCUUACCUGGGCUCGAAGCGCAGUGGACCGGGGUGGAAACAUCCCUUUCCGCAAGGACUGCUGCGGAGGUGCUGCAUGGCUGUCGUCAGCUCGUGUCGUGAGAUGUUGGGUUAAGUCCCGCAACGAGCGCAACCCUUAUCGUUAGUUGCCAUCAGGUCAAGCUGGGCACUCUAGCGAAACCGCCUCGGAUAACGGGGAGGAAGGUGGGGAUGACGUCAAGUCCUCAUGGCCUUUAUGUCCAGGGCUACACACGUGCUACAAUGGUCGGUACAAACCGUUGCAAACCCGCGAGGGGGAGCUAAUCGGAAAAAGCCGGCCUCAGUUCGGAUUGGAGUCUGCAACCCGACUCCAUGAAGCUGGAAUCGCUAGUAAUCGCAGAUCAGAACGCUGCGGUGAAUACGUUCCCGGGCCUUGUACACACCGCCCGU